UACAGAGGUCUCAAGCGUUGUUCGGAUUCAUUGGGCGUAAAGGGUGCGUAGGCGGCUCGGUAAGUCGGGUGUGAAAUCUCGGGGCUUAACUCCGAAACUGCAUUCGAUACUGCCGUGCUUGAGGACUGGAGAGGAGACUGGAAUUUACGGUGUAGCGGUGAAAUGCGUAGAUAUCGUAAGGAAGACCAGUGGCGAAGGCGGGUCUCUGGACAGUUCCUGACGCUGAGGCACGAAGGUCAGGGGAGCAAACGGG
rnacentral:rRNA from 1 species